rnacentral:rRNA from 1 species
UACGUAGGGGGCAAGCGUUGUCCGGAUUUAUUGGGCGUAAAGCGCUCGCAGGUGGUUCGAUGCGUCGUGCGUGAAAGACCCCGGCUCAACUGGGGAGGGUCGUGCGAUACGGGCGAACUGGAGGCCAGUAGGGGGAUGCGGAAUUCCGGGUGUAGUGGUGGAAUGCGUAGAGAUCCGGAGGAACACCAGCGGCGAAGGCGGCAUCCUGGACUGGUCCUGACACUCAGGAGCGAAAGCGUGGGGAGCGAUCCGG